UACGAAGGGGGCUAGCGUUACUCGGAUUGACUGGGCGUAGAGGGCGCGUAGGCGGCUUGUACAGUCAGACGUGAAAUUCCUGGGCUCAACCUGGGGGCUGCGUUUGAUACGUGCGGGCUUGAGUUCGGAAGAGGGUCGUGGAAUUCCCAGUGUAGAGGUGAAAUUCGUAGAUAUUCGCAAGAACACCAGUGGCGAAGGCGGCUCACUGGCCCGAUACUGACGCUGAGGUGCGGAAGCGUGGGGAGCAAACAGG
rnacentral:rRNA from 1 species